GCUAUCUAGAGGUUUUGGAUGUCUGGGAGUUGUUUCCUAAGAUUGAACUUACUAAGAUGUAAACCCUAGCAGCUAAGGUUGGGAUGAAAACCCUAACCUUACAAUUUAUUCUCGGGAUUGCGUUACCCUUAUCAAAAUCAUUCUUGUUUAUACAAUGCAAGACUGGUGUCAAGUGUUGUCUGCCAUUCUUUGGAGUUGGGAAGGAACCAUACAAUUGUUUAGGCUGCAAGCCACCUAUUUCGUCAUUCUGGAUGCAUGUUCCACCUAUGACAGCUAAGGGCAUAUAGUGUUGCAAACUACCUGCCAGCUUAGGGUACCACGGUAUACAGAUCUACAACGUUUUUUGGCAAUUUUAUGGCUAGGAGGUGUUGCCUUUAUAGAUUUCAAUGACAAACUUACAACCACCGAGCACAUACAAUUAACACAAUCACCACUCCACACUCGCUUGGAACCCCCUAGUCUUCCAAUGUCUUUAUAAGGAUCUCAACUUGGGCAACACGAAGGAAGGGCUCAUUUAGACUUCAAUACUAUGGGACGAUACAUAGUCAAUGUUUACAAUUGGUGAUCAACCAAGGCAUAACAAAAGUUCAUCCAGCUAGAGCUUGAAAGGGAUUUUAUAAUUUUAGUUUCUUCAAUUGGAACAUUGAACUGUAAGUCACUGAGCUAUUGUGCAGCAUCUUCAACUGCUCAAAUCCGAACAGUUAAUUCAAUGAUACAAUAUAUAUACAUACACUCCUUUCCUGUACUUCACAGCAUUGGAGAAGGGAGAAAAAGUUCAAGUGUCUGUCGAUCAUAAUUAUUACUAGGAAGCUAUCUGGAACAUCACUCGGUCUGCUUCAGCUAGAAAUCAAAAGGGUUUUCCUCUAAAACCUACGGCAUUCCUUCAUUCGCAGAUAUGAAAAGGACCAGGAAGAGACUCGAGGAGAAUGGAUUUCAAAAUUGCAGACCUACAACUUUGAGAGCAGACUUACACCAGCCAUAGACCCCCAGGCAAAGGCUGGACCAGGAAGAGACUCGAGGAGAAUGGAUUUCAAAAUUGCAGACCUACAACUUUGAGAGCAGACUUACACCAGCCAUAGACCCCCAG